CGGAGUUCCCAGAGUGAGAAUCUGAAUCAGCUUUAACAGACUGCACCUGGAACAUCUCUCUCAACCUAAUACAUUCACUUUGCACCAUUGAGAGGUCAUCAUUGAAGAUCAUCAUUUAAGAUUGCAGGGCCCAGGAAUGAAAUAGUUUUCAUUUGAUACUUCACCCCAACUUGAUGAAGGAGGAUUGAUUUUCGAUCAUCUUUCACAGACAGUAGCAAAGAGAUAGAUGGAUGAACAGGCAGUGAAAGAACUGAUGAUCAAUGGAUCAUCAGAGAAAGAAAAGGUUCAU